GCUUGAUAUUAUCUCAAGGUUCAGAGUUACAGAUACAGGGGAUCAGAUCGAGGAUCUGUCCAAUUUCUAUCAAGUACUCUAGGGUUCUAAGGGUAGCUAGCUAUUACACUUGGAGAAAAGGGGAAAGAUAAUCUUCGGCUCGGCGAGCGGGUCCCUUAUAGCUGGGAGCAGGUGGCGAUGACUUGAGACGGAAGGAUCCGUUGCCGUCACUGUUACAGUCAGGCUGGUGGCGGCAACGGGUGACGGUGAACAGGACACCGGAGAGCCGUCGAUCUUCACUUACUGGGUUGAUCCCAACCGUCCGAUUCCCAUAGACUGAACUCUGUUUCUUCAGUGCAGGUGUUCUGUUCUUCAGUUAACCAGAAUAAGCUGUCAGGGUCCUGACAUGGUGGCGCACGGGUCAGGUCUGGGCUGGGCAGAAGGCCAGCCCCUGCGGGGGAAAGGAGUGGCCGAGCGGAGGUUGGUGCAGCGGCAACUGAGGACGGGGUCGGCCGUGGAGGGAGGCUCGCCGGCGGAUCAGUCGGAGCAAGGAGGCAGGGUAGACCAUGGAGGGAUUUUGCCUUGUGGUCGAUUCAGUUCGCCGUUCUCUCCUACUCGAGCCGCUGCAUCGUUCAACCUUUAGCUUUGAGUGUAAUUUGUUAUCGCUGCUUUGGAGCUGCGCAGGGGGCCGCCGCCAAGGACCUCCCGGAGAUCCUCUAUGGUGUCCUCCACGCCCCCCCGCGACGAGCGCAAGGACCAGGACGACGUCGCCGUCCAGUACCGCCGCGGCGGCCCCGGGGGCAAGAGCGGCAAACGGCGCUGCGUCAGCGGCGGCAGGGCAGCCGCGGCUGAGGCCGCCAAGGCCCGGCGCGAGAAGGAGGCGGAGCAAACGCAGGCCAUGCUCGCGUGCUAUGACUCUGACGAGGCCUUCCGCAACCUCUAUGAUGGCGUCGCUAACCUCUUCGCCGGGCUGCUCAAGUUGGGCCUGGAGCACCUGUGCGUGGGCGACACGACCAAGAUCGGGUUCGCCGCCAAGUGAGGCCAUCGCGCGACUCGAGCCCCGAGUACCUCGCUAUCCCCCACAAGCACUAUGCCUGCCGCGUCUGCAACCGGCUCCGCCGCGAGGUCCAGGUGCCGCUCCUCAAGGUGCUCGAGCUUGCCGAGCUCUACAUGAGCGCCUGCAAGUGGGACGAGCUGCCCUACGCGCGCGUGGCGUCCACGGCCAUGCGCCAGUACAAGGAGGCGUCCUGGAUGUGCUUCUUUCUUCUUAUCAUGGGGUCAGCGACGGCGAACGGCACCCAGUAGGGCUGGCCGAGGAAGAGGGUGAGACGUGGGGAUUGAAGAAGGGUUCCAGGACUAUAUUGAUGCCAUCGUCAAGUCAUGUAGACUAAUUGUAGAACAAAUCUAUACUUUUGCUGGGACUAAAAGUGAAAAUGAUAAUUGGGACCAAAACUAUGCAUUUCUAGGAAAUAAUAAAUAUGCAAAAGGAUUAUCCACGGGAUGGAGCAGAGGCCGGCGUGGGCCGCAAGGAGCAGCAGGGGCAGAAUGGUGCUCGCUUGCCGGGCGUUGGCCCUCGGAUGAAUUCGACGCCUGAGUCGAGCUGACGAGCCCUAUGGUUUGCUAUCAAUCUCUCAAAAAGGAAAAGACAACAUUACUUUGUUCUUGGGAGAAACUUCCUGUAGAGUCGCUACCUUGACAGAGAUAAAUAUGCGAUCAAGGAUAUGUUUAGUGGUUUUUCAGGAAGAAACUUGGAGGAUAUUUUUGAAGAUAGUUUGGUGCUCCCAUGGUUAUUUUGUCGAGAUUGUCCUUCUGUUCAUUAUUUGGGAACCAUCUCCUGCAUCUCAGCUACUGUCCAGCUGCUGCCCUUAUGGUGAUUGAUUAAUGGUGUAUGUUUUCCUAUUAGUUUCUCUGUAUGCCAAUGUCUGAAUUAUGUCUUGACGUUUUACAUUUCUCCAGGCCUUGGAUUCCCUGAGAUGCGCUAUUCAUAGGCAUGCACUUUCUAAUAAAAUUAUGGCAAUCAAUUUGAACAAGUAAUUUAUCUAGCUACAACAACCUAUUGUUUAUGUUCCUUGCUUUCGCAAAUAGUAGUUUAUAGUCUAUAUCUGCCAAAUAUUUACACAUUAGUUUAGCCACAAAGUAAGAUGUCAUACAUUAGUGAUGGGUUUGUUAUUCUGCUGUCGUUUCAUGUUGGUUAGCCAUGAUAAAUCUAAUUUCUAGAGUAGGUAGAUGAUCCGUGUCAGGUUUCUUUUAGAGAUCGAAAUAUGGUUCGACUCUGAAAUAAGUAGUAUGGCGUCCAGUUCGGCAUAGGUAGUAGAAAGCAUACUAAUCCCAUUUACAUACUAUGCAAAACUGGAAGGCCUUCUAAAGCUCUGAAACUACUAUUUGUUGUGUAAUAUGUAUCCCCUUUUCAUACUUUGUAUAUGCUCUCUACUUAGUAGGCAAAAGUACAUGAGAACGAUGGCCUACAGGAUGUGAAUUGCACUAAAAUAUAUGCAGGUUUUGUGCCAGUUAGAAACUCGAGGUCCAAAACUCAAGGAUGAUGGCCCAAAACUCGAGGACUCUAUAUUCAGAAACUACACAUGUUUCUGAAUAUUGACUUGAGUUUUGGGGAAUGGUGCGCUCUAAUUUGGAAGUGGCAUUUCCUAAUGUAUUCACACAGUUAGAUAUCAUAUUAUAUAUUUUUUCUCUUACUUGAAACUUCUGCCAUGUAAAGCUAGGUUGUCUUUGAUUUGUUGUUGUGUUAGGUAUUGAAUAAACUGGCUUGUUUGGCUAACCUUCCUUUCCUUUUAUUUUGCAGGCUCUAGAAUCGCUAACGUUGCUCCUUGACUGUUCCUUUGGUCAAGGUUUGUCCUUGUCAUUCUUUUCUAAGCACUGCACUUUUCUACCCUAUUUGUUUACUACUUAUUGUCGUGUUAAUUCCUCUGUUCCUGAUUUUUCCAGGUGUUGUGUUUGUGUGUUUGUUUUUGUGGUGCUGCUUAUAUGUGUGACUACCGUAUGAGCGUAUAUAUAUGCUGAAAAGUAAAAUGAUUUUUCCUUGGCACGAUACAUAAUUUGUAAUGAGAUGGUAGUACAUCAGUAUAUUUAUAGGAAAAAAUUAUAGUCGUACUUUUAACAUGGAUUGGUGGUUCAUCACAAUUUUUCUAGCUUCUUUUGUCCUCCAAAUGAUAUAGAAGGCAGUCAAGUUGCAUCCUCUAAUUUCUCGUGAUUUUUGUAGGACCUACUAUGAUGCAUAUUCGAAAGAGUGCAUCUAUUGUUUCGGCUAAAAAUUGAUUUCUAUUUGAAGGAGUGCAUCUAUUGUGCAUCUAUGCCAGAAGACAGUGUGCUGUUUUUUAUUCCAUGCUCCAAAUAGUUCAUGUCCGAUUCAUAGACAUCCUUGAAUUGCUUAACGAUGAUGGCAUGCUUGGUGUUCAUAUUUUUGUCAGCCAAAUAAUAAUAGGUGCACUUGACUGUUUGAGGAAAUCAACUGAAAGCUAAAUUCAGUUAGAAUUAGAUUUUUGCACGUGUGCUCUUGAUGCUUCACGUACGACCAGUUCUCUCGAAUAAUGAGUUACUCCCUCAAUUUUACAAUAGAGAUAAUUUGUCAAAAUUGUGUUUUUGUAA